rnacentral:tRNA from 2 species
GGGGUAUAGCUCAGAUGGUAGAGCGCUUGGUUCGCAUUCAAGAGGUCAGGGGUUCGAUUCCCCUUAUCUCC